UACGUAGGGCGCAAGCGUUGUCCGGAAUUAUUGGGCGUAAAGAGCUCGUAGGCGGUUUGUCGCGUCUGCUGUGAAAUCCCGAGGCUCAACCUCGGGCUUGCAGUGGGUACGGGCAGACUAGAGUGCGGUAGGGGAGACUGGAAUUCCCGGUGUAGCGGUGAAAUGCGCAGAUAUCGGGAGGAACACCAGUAGCGAAGGCGGCACUCUGGGCCGGAACUGACGCUGAGGAGCGAAAGCGUGGGGAGCGAACAGG
rnacentral:rRNA from 1 species